GUAUACAUCCAUACCAUCCUGAAAGCACCGGAUCUUGUCUGAUCUCGGAAGCUAAGCAGGGUUAGGCCUGGUUAGUACAUGUAUAGG
ensembl:rRNA 5S_rRNA 5S ribosomal RNA